rnacentral:lncRNA from 1 species
CAAAGCGAGGUGAAGAUUUGCUCCGGCCCAUAACCUACAACGACAACUGCAGAUCCGUUCACGGCCUCGUCUAUUCAUAGGCUCAUAACGCAACUUUACUGCUAUGGCUUUCUUUUAGACCUUGACUUAGUGGAGACCAUUUCUUCUCCUCUCGGGCGAACGCUUUGACUACAGUGGUCAAAGUUUUUUGGUCAGUGUGUUGGUGGUUG